UCUGUUUUCCUGUGCCUACCCAAUUUUGGGACUCUAGACUGGAAGUCUUUAUUUGAAUAAAUCUUUGAAUUUGAAUUUGUCCAGCUACUUGCUUAUCUGUUGUCUGCAUUUGGGUCCAAUCCUGCUACCUGCUCUCCAAAACAUCACAAAGAUCCAGCCCUAGCUAAACACCUGAUGGAGGAUAGUAAGGAGGCUACAAAGCGUGAGUUUCCCAAGUCUAUCAGCCCCCAGCAGCCAGUAAGCCAUUGUGCUUCCAAGCUGGUGACGCCUUAGCUGUUCAGCAGUCCAGAGCCUCUGCAGCCCAGCUUCAAAGCCGAUGUCAAACCACUUCCUGUGUUGGGAGUCCCAGCUAAUGUCCCGUCUGUUCCUACGUUGGGAUUUCCCGCCAUCACCAGUCAGCGGUCCAGUUGACAUCUGCUCCUCACUCCCAGUCAGUCAAUCCCUGCCAACUGCAGCACUCCCAAGUCCCUACUGCGCUGCAACAGUCUUCUGGUUCCGCAGUUCCACCAGACUGCAGUUCUGCUCUCCAGCCAUCAGCCUCCAGGUCGUUAGCUUCCUGUUCAGGUCUACAUAAUGUCCAUCCUACCAACACAUUCACACUCCCAACAUGCCACGUAUUGCUGCUUGUUCAGUGGACUUUCAUGUCUACUUAUUACGUGCUAGGUAUCCUGUGUUCGUCUGUUAUUGACAUUCUGGGGUGCCAUGUCAAUUUAUGCCUGUAGCAUGCAUUGCGUCUUUUCAAAACAGUCUUCUGUUUUCACACAAAGUGUACUGUUUUUGCUCAUUAGAUGCAUACAGUCUUUUUAAAAAUAAAC